UACGUAGGGUGCGAGCGUUGUCCGGAUUCAUUGGGCGUAAAGAGCGCGUAGGCGGCUGGGUAAGUCGGAUGUGAAAUCCCGGGGCUCAACCCCGUGACUGCACCCGAAACUGCCCGGCUAGAGGUAGGUAGGGGAGAUCGGAAUUCCUGGUGUAGCGGUGAAAUGCGCAGAUAUCAGGAGGAACACCGGUGGCGAAGGCGGAUCUCUGGGCCUUACCUGACGCUCAGGCGCGAAGGCCAGGGGAGCAAACGGG
rnacentral:rRNA from 1 species